rnacentral:rRNA from 1 species
AACGAACGCUGGCGGCAGGCUUAACACAUGCAAGUCGAGCGCCCCGCAAGGGGAGCGGCAGACGGGUGAGUAACGCGUGGGAACGUACCUUUUGGUUCGGAACAACUCCGGGAAACUGGAGCUAAUACCGGAUAGCCCUAACGGGGAAAGAUUUAUCGCCGAAAGAUCGGCCCGCGUCUGAUUAGCUAGUUGGUGAGGUAACGGCUCACCAAGGCGACGAUCAGUAGCUGGUCUGAGAGGAUGAUCAGCCACACUGGGACUUAGACACGGCCCAGACUCCUACGGGAGGCAGCAGUGGGGAAUAUUGGACAAUGGGCGCAAGCCUGAUCCAGCCAUGCCGCGUGAGUGAUGAAGGCCUUAGGGUUGUAAAGCUCUUUUGUCCGGGAAGAUAAUGACUGUACCGGAAGAAUAAGCCCCGGCUAACUUCGUG